UACGUAGGUGGCAAGCGUUGUCCGGAUUUACUGGGCGUAAAGAGCGCGCAGGCGGUCGUUCAAGUCGCGUGUGAAAGCCCCCGGCUCAACUGGGGAGGGUCACGCGAUACUGAUCGACUCGAAGGCAGGAGAGGGUAGUGGAAUUCCCGGUGUAGUGGUGAAAUGCGCAGAUAUCAGGAGGAACACCGAUGGCGAAGGCAGUGUUCUGGGCCAGUACUGACGCUGAGGAGCGAAAGCGUGGGGAGCGAACAGG
rnacentral:rRNA from 1 species